AUACGGAAGGUCCGGGCGUUAUCCGGAUUUAUUGGGUUUAAAGGGAGCGCAGGCCGGUGUGUAAGUGUGACGUCAAAUACAGCCGCUCAACGGUUGUCCGCGUCGCGAACUGCAUGCCUUGAGUACGCUGCAAGUGGGCGGAAUUCGUGGUGUAGCGGUGAAAUGCUUAGAUAUCACGAAGAACUCCGAUUGCGAAGGCAGCCCGCUGUUGCGUCACUGACGCUGAGGCUCGAAGGUGCGGGUAUCGAACAGGAUUAGAUACCCUGGUAGUCCGCACUGUAAACGAUGGACACCCGCUGUGUGGCCAUUAUGGUUGCGCGGCCAAGCGAAAGCAUUAAGUGUCCCACCUGGGGAGUACGCCGGCAACGGUGAAACUCAAAUGAAUUGACGGGG
rnacentral:rRNA from 1 species